GGUGAACGCUGGCGGCGUGCUUAAGACAUGCAAGUCGAACGGCAGUCUUCGGACUGUAGUGGCGCACGGGUGAGUAACGCGUAACUGACCUACCCCAAAGUCGCGGAUAACGAUUCGAAAGAAUCGCUAAUACGUGAUGUGCUGUCAGAUUGUGUUCUGCCAGUAAAGAUUGAUUGCUUUGGGAUGGGGUUGCGUUCCAUCAGCUAGUUGGUGGGGGAAAGGCCCACCAAGGCGACGACGGAUAGCCGGCCUGAGAGGGUGGCCGGCCACAGGGGCACUGAGACACGGGUCGUACGCCUGCGGGGGGCAGCAGUUAGGAAUCUACCACAAUGGGCUAAAGCCUGAUGGAGCGACGCCGCGUGAGGGAUGAAGGUCUUCGGAUCGUAAACCUCUGAAUCAGGGACGAAAGACACUUCGGUGGGAUGACGGUACCUGAGUAGUAGCACCGGCUAACUCCGUGCCAGCAGCCGCAGUAAUAC
rnacentral:rRNA from 1 species